rnacentral:rRNA from 1 species
UACGAAGGGGGCUAGCGUUGUUCGGAACUACUGGGCGUAAAGCGCGCGCAGGCGGUUCGAUAAGUUGGGGGUGAAAUCCCCGGGCUCAACCCGGGAAUGGCCUUCAAGACUGUCGAGCUAGAGGACGAGAGAGGUGAGUGGAAUUCCCAGUGUAGAGGUGAAAUUCGUAGAUAUUGGGAAGAACACCGGGUGGCGAAGGCGGCUCACUGGCUCGUUUCUGACGCUGAGGCGCGAAAGCGUGGGGAGCAAACAGG